UACGAAGGGUGCAAGCGUUAAUCGGAAUUACUGGGCGUAAAGCGUGCGUAGGCGGUCUGUUAAGUCCGAUGUGAAAGCCCUGGGCUCAACCUGGGAAUUGCAUUGGAUACUGGCAGGCUAGAGUGCGGUAGAGGGUGGCGGAAUUCCCGGUGUAGCGGUGAAAUGCGUAGAGAUCGGGAGGAACAUCCGUGGCGAAGGCGACCUCCUGGACCAGCACUGACGCUGAGGCACGAAAGCGUGGGGAGCAAACAGG
rnacentral:misc_RNA from 1 species